rnacentral:lncRNA from 1 species
ACACCUAAAGCAUAAUUAACCCUCUAAGCGAGGUUUAGUGAGUUAAACUCACCGGAUUAGCGAGCCGAGCGAACCAAAACGACGAGGACGACGCGAGGAUCGACUUUCCUCAAAGCGGGCCGAGCAUCCGGGCUCGGGAAGGCGGCCAAAACGGGCCAAGAAGGGGCUGCCAUACCCAUUUUCUGCAGCUGCUGUCCGCGGCGGUUCAAGGUUGAGAGAGGCCAGAUCCGGCGCCGGUUCGGGUCGGAAAGGGCGGAGGAGCUAUGGCGGUGGCUGGCGGCGACGAAUGAGCUCCGACAGCUCUUGCGCGAGCUGAACAGCAGCUCGGGACGACGAGCUGGGCGAAGCGGGCGGAGCGGCGCGCGGCCAGGCGCGGGCGAGCGCGAGGUAGAUGCGCGACGGCGGCGACGGGCGAACGGCGAUAGGCGGAGCUGCUGGUUUCUGCUCGGCGUCCGACCAGAUCUGAGAUCCCGAGUAGCAAACGGAGGCGGCUGGGCGGAGCAGCUCGCGGGGCUGCGACGGUGAGCGGGCGGAGACGCGCGGGGCGGCGGCAGCGAGCGGCGACCGCGACGGCGACGAUGGCGUGCAGGCGGGAGUGGACGACCAUGGCUGCAGCUCCUUCUUCUCUGAAAUUUUCUGGUCUUCGCACAAUGAAGAUGGAGGAGAAGCCAACGGGAGAGAGGAAGAAGAGAGGGAGGAGAGAGAAGGAGUGGGGGCUCUUUUCUUUUCUUUUUCCUUUNNNNNNNNNNNNNNNNNNNNNNNNNNNNNNNNNNNNNNNNNNNNNNNNNNNNNNNNNNNNNNNNNNNNNNNNNNNNNNNNNNNNNNNNNNNNNNNNNNNNNNNNNNNNNNNNNNNNNNNNNNNNNNNNNNNNNNNNNNCUUGAUUCUCUUCCAUUGAAUCAAAUUGAAGUCCAUAAAAUUAAUCCAAUGUCACCACACUUCAAUUCACAUCUUCACUUGUCUAUAGAACCAACUUAAGUCCCAAAAGCACAACCAAAGACGAGCCUACUAUUUCUCGAGUCAAAUUAGCCAUUUCUUGAUUAUUUUGCUAAAACGCUCGGCUUGCAUGAAAAAUCUUCCAAAGAUGAUUCAAUGAUCUUGAAAUGAUUUGUGACACACCCAGACUUCCAAUUUCUGAAUUCGAUCUCAAUUCCACGGUUAAUUUCACUUUGGCACAAUACUAGCGCGGCCCAAUCUACCGGGUAGCCUUUAGAAAUUUUCAUGCAUCUGACCUGUGGUUGAUCAUCUCAAGCCACAAUGUACAUCUUUGAAACAUUGGCGACUUUCGGUUGUCGAGGUAAUCUCAAGGUUUCAAAUACGAACACAGGGUACCCAAUCGAUAGAAAAGUCGGUCUAGUGCCAAUCGACAAGAAUGGUGCGAUCUGGUGGAAUCACCCACACCUGAUCACAUGCCUCUGUCGAGUCGACCUAUCUCCAAUCUUUAAUCGAUUUUAAUUGUGCCGUAAUGAACCUUGCAGACUAGCUCGGUCGAAAGGUCGCUUCCUGGUCAAAUUCUCGAGUCUGAUGCAUUAGAAACUCUUAACAGCUUCACCCGAUAGACUAGUUUCCACAUGAGUGGCCAACUCCAGGAAAAGAACUAUAUGCGUGCCAACGAAAUGCCCGUCUCAAUUUAUUGAAAAUAGAAUCGGAAAAAUCGGGAUGUCACAACUCUUCCCCCCUUAUAAAAAUUUCGUCCUCGAAAUUUAAACCUUUGCCAAUUCUUAAACAUAAAGGUGGGGGUACAAUUGUCUCAUUGAAUCUUCGGUUUCUCUAGUUGCUCCUUCAGUAACCUUAAGUACCAAUACUGCCAAAUCACUGCUAUCUUGUCAAAACCACUUCGAGUUCCAAAAUAGUAUAUGCUUGCCCACUUAAAAUUCCAAAGGUAUUCAACACAAAAUCUGCGAUUUUCUAAUCUCUGAUCUCAUCUCAACCGACUGAAAUCAUGUACACUUUGCUCUGCACUGAUUAAAGAGAAGCUAUCUGACUCACUUGCUGAAACUAAGAACCUCUGGUCAAGAUCUGAUAUAAUUCUGACACUGAUCUCGGCAAUUGCAAUCACUGACUACUGUUCUGACCUUGGCCUGUGAUCUUUCUUUCCCUGAUUUCAUCUCAGCAAUCGAAAUUCUGCACUCUCUGCUAUGCACUGCUUAAGAAGGAACCAUCUGAAAGCUCUGCAAACUUAGAACAUCUGAUCUAGAUUUGAAAUACAAUUUAUCCUCGGCACUCCAUGCCGGUGAUUUAUAUGAUAUACAGACACUUGGGUAUACCUAUUCCAAUCGAGAUCUUUUCGUGCAUUAAGGUGAGUUGACUCUGAUCACUUGUCGACUACAACCUCAUAAGGAAUCAAUGCUCUUCCUGACUCCUUAAUAACCUGUCAUAACAUUCCAUCAUGUUAUACUUUCAUUCUCACACAAAUCUCUCUCUAGUACUUGAAAAAGCUUUCCUAGCUUACAUUACCAAAUUCUCACUUACUGGCGCAUCCAACACUUACAACUUGUUCGGCGAUAUCUAUCGUCAUACCGAUCUACCAAUCCCAAUGAUGUAGAUCUUGACUCAUCUUCUUACUGUCUGGACAACGCUGAAGUUGCUAUGAUGAGCUUCCCAUAAGAUUUAUUCUUUAAUCUCAGCAUUCUCAAUUACAUACAAUCGUCCUCAGAACCUUAGCGUUCUGUUAUCAGAAAUCUGAAAAUCAACCUCUCUCUCAAUUGCAUUCUCUUAUAGAAUCUUCUGAAUUUCUGAAUUUGUCCACUGAAGCGCUUUGAUUCUGAUCUGUACUCUCGGUUCAGUUCCGAGGGCAAUCAUAAGAUUCAAAAGGUGGUCUACCUUAGAUUUGGAUACCAAAUUUCGAACUUUCUCAAAUAGGAUCCAAUCCUUAAGUACCAAAUGAGCAACUAAGGACUCUCGGCUCAGUGCAAUUGCGACUUUGCUCACCUUACCAGAGUGAUACAAAAUAUCAUAGUUAUAAUCCUUAAUGAGUUCCAUCCAGCGACACCAUCUCAUAUUCAACUCCCGAGGCCUCAAUUGACAGGACGCAUAUGCAAAAACUCUAUCAUGCUGCAUCAACAAGCAAUUAAAUCCUUUAAACGACACAUCACUGCAGAUCUCAUAACUUUCAGGACCAGAUGGAAUAGUAAGCACAAGUGCGGUAGUCAGCCUCUUUUAGGCCCUUGGAAACUACACUCGCACUUAUCUGGUCACACGGACUUUUCUUACUUCCUCAGUAGUCGAAUCAACUGCAACGCUGACGCUAAAAACUCUUCCAUAAAACUUCUGCAAUAUCCUGCUAAUCCCCAAAAACUUCUAAUCUCUAUCACUGUAGUCAAUCUCGACUAACUGUUCACUGCUUUAAUCUUGGACGGGGUCUACGGAGAUUUCUUCGCCUGAAAUCACGUGACCUAGGAGCGCAACACGAGUCAUCUAAAACUCACACUUGCUAAGUUUAUCGUAAAAUCCAAAAGCACUCAAGGUCUGAAGUACCAUCCCCGAAUGUCUCUCGUGCUCCUCAGAACUCUUUCAACACACCAGGAUAACUUCAAUGAACAUGAUCACAACUGAUUCAAGUAUCCUUAAACAUUCUGCUCAUUAGACCCAAACAAAUAGCUAUGGUGUCCAUCAAACCAUACGGUAUUACAGCUAACUCAUAACUACCAUAUCAAAUACGAGAUGCUAACUUCGGUGUGUCUUUCUUCCUGAUCCUCAAUUGAUGAUACCCUGACUUCCAGUCGAUCUUGAGGAAUAUCGAUACAUAACCACAACGAACCACAUUUCUCCUUCAUGUACCGAACUGGUGCUCCCCAAGGUUAUGCACUGGAAAGUAUGAAUCCCCUAUUCAACACUUCCUGCAUCUGCACCUUCAGUUCUUUUAACUCGGGUAACACCAUCCGGUAAAGAGCCUUAGGGACUGGCUCUGUUCCGGUUGCUGAUUCAAUCGCGAACUCUGUCUCUCUCUGACAGCAGACUUAGCAAUUCUUCCUGACACAACUCAGAAAACUUCUGUACCAUGGCUAAGUUUCUCAUAUCUGGCUUCUCAACUGACGCAUCUAUUACAGUUGCCAUGCAUAUUUGGUAACCAACAACCAGAACCAGGUCAUCUUCAGUGAUGAACAACUAGGGUUGAAGUUCCUCUUCAACUUUCAGUGAUUCAAAACUUUCGCACGUUAUCUUAUUACCACAACGAAAACCCUACAACCUUCACUGAAAAUUCUGCUGCACUACUAUGAUAAAAUUCCCUCAAGAACAUUUUCCCUUUGACUAUUGCAUAGUCAAUCCAUUAUUAUUCUUUUCGCCAUCCUAGUGGCGUUCCAUCUGCAGUAGCAAUGCUUACACUCUCCUGAACUUACACGGACAGUUCUUAACCUGACGGCUAUGCUGGCCACACUCGAAGCACGUUUCCCUUUUUACUUUAACACUGGGCUGACUCAAGCCUCCUUUCCACAAUCUCGGCACACAAUCAGGGAGUCAUUUACCUCCUAUCAAGGAAUAUCAUGCACCCUUCUUUGCACUGGGGUCUGUUCCAAGUACCCCAUUAAAUGUCCCGAAGUAUGUUUCCUCUAUUCUGCCUCAUCAACGGCGGUGCAGAAACAACUGUGACUCCAUCUUUCUAUACGGACCAUCUCUGAUCAAAAGACCUUACUGGCGACACCUGUAACAAGUCUUUUCUUACAAACACGACACCCAUCGAACGAGAUGAGCAUUGACUUUUCAAUUCUACUCUUCCAGUUGGGUGGAACAGGGCAUCUUUCUUCUGACAUCGGCUUUUCUCCCCAACCGAUUUUCAUCUCUGUCUAAACUGAACCUUGACUCAGAUACGAAGACUUGAUCCUCGAUUACAACUCCAGAUUAGGCUUCAACAGGCAUGACAAUAACAACGGCGGUCAAAACACUGACAGCAAUAGAAACAGCGGCAACAGCGGCGGCUCGAUCCUGAACUUACUGACCCAACGAGCUUCCAAGGAACACUAGCGCCUUAACAAUCCUAUUAAACCUAGGAUCAUUCGGUGCUAUAACAUUCUCAGCACCGACUUGCGGCGGUACUCUCACACUCGCGCUGGUCUAAGCCUGCGCUCUACCUCGGGUACCGACUCUUGUCAGCAUCCUACCCCGAGGUAUAGGUCCUACCAACCUUCUCCAAGGAGUUCUCCACUCCUAGUCACUCAUGCUACAGACUCUAUAUAGACGCCUGUUUUUCAAUUCCAACACCAGGUUAGAAUUUGAGUGACCCCACAAACAUACUACCAAUCAACUAUCAACCACAUGCAUCAGCAUAUUAAAAGCCUUUCCUACUAACUAUCCCAAGACUCAUCGCACCUUAUCACUCCAUACACAGACCAUGCUCUGAUACCACUUAAACGGGGAUGUCACGCCCCGAACCCCGAGCGCGCGCACAUCCCACUACGGUCGAUCUUGAAUGCGACAUCCCAGGAUAUGUCGCCGACCCAUUCAUUUCUUUACGCAUGCGGAAGCGAAACAAAUCCCCUGACAACAUUUAACUUGGGAUAGAAAAGCAGGAAACAAAAUCACAACAUAACACUUUCGUAAAUCAACGAAAUUACAAACAGAGGUCUACGGCCAAAAGUCUACAAAAGACUGGCUCUUAAAAAGAGAUUAUCCUACGACCUACAAGACGUACACGAUCUCCAAUCCUUAUGACUUCACUUCUCCAACUCUUCAAGGCCAACCAAAGCUAUCUGGCCGCUCCGUCCAUCAGGGACCUGAAAUGGUUAUUCAAUAACCACUGAGACCACGUCUCAGCAAGUUCAACCCCCUAAACCCCUAUUAGAAAGAAAAUACGCCCCGGGUGGCCUAGCCACAUCACACAGAAGACUUACCUCGCCUCAGCCUUCAUCUGCAGGUUAGCACAAUUUAUAUAAACCAACCACGUGCAAUUAUGAUAACCAAACAACCGUGGCUCAAUCACAUUAUCAAAACAAUUCAACCACUUGGAUCGUCUCAGCGAUCAAUCGACUCGGCCGAUUUCAUGUCAUUCUAGCAAAUCAAUCAUUGCUCUCAACUACGGCCCUACUCGGCGCGACCUUUAACAGGUGGCAAUUCACGGCCCCAUCGGGCGCGACCUCUAAUAGGUGGCAUAAAACGGCCCCACUGGGCGCGACCUUUAUCAGGUGGCAUAUCACGGCCCCAUCGGGCGCGACCUCUAAUAGGUGGCAUAAAACGGCCCCACUGGGCGCGACCUCUAAUAGGUGGCAUAUUCACUACCUCAUCUCUCCUCAAUUCCCACACUUAGAAAUUUACAAAGAAUCCAUAUAUAUCGCAAUCACACUCAAUUCGCCACAACCAAUCAUCAAUAUCAAAUUCUAAAUGCACAGCAGCGAUCGGCACGAAAUUCUGAGUAAAUAAGGUUCCCAAAUAAUUUUCAGAAUUUAUUAAAUAAUUAAAUUUAUUCCGAAAAUUAAUAUAAUAAUAAUAUCCAUAUUUUUCACGAUCCACACUCAAUUUAAAAUAUCCAAUCAUCAAUUUCAAAAUCCGAAUGUACCGUAGCGACCGGUACGAAAUUCUGAGAAUUUAGGGUCCCGACCAAAAUUUGCGGAAUUUAAUAAAUAAUUAUAUUUAUUCCGAAAAUAAUUAAAUAAUAAUAUUUUAAUAAUUUCGAAUAUUAAAAUAUUAUUUAAUUAUUCAAUAAUUUCGAGAUAUUUAAAUAAAUCAAAAGUAAAUUCAUUUUUGUCACAUCAAGGUUUAUAUUAAUAUAAACACCCACUUAACUUUAAUUUAAACACAAUUUAAGCUAAUUAAACACAUUAAUAUAAACCACCCUUAAAUAAAUCAAACUAACCACCUAAUCACACUUAACAUAAACUAAGCACACCUAAAGCAUAAUUAACCCUCUAAGCGAGGUUUAGUGAGUUAAACUCACCGGAUUAGCGAGCCGAGCGAACCAAAACGACGAGGACGACGCGAGGAUCGACUUUCCUCAAAGCGGGCCGAGCAUCCGGGCUCGGGAAGGCGGCCAAAACGGGCCAAGAAGGGGCUGCCAUACCCAUUUUCUGCAGCUGCUGUCCGCGGCGGUUCAAGGUUGAGAGAGGCCAGAUCCGGCGCCGGUUCGGGUCGGAAAGG